rnacentral:SRP_RNA from 10 species
ACCCAGCAUGCACCUGUAGUCCCAGCUACUAAGGAAGUUGAAGCAGGAGGAUCACCUGAGCCCAGAAGUUCUGGGCCGAAGCGUGCUAUGCCGAUUGAGUAUCCAUACUAAGUUCAGCAUUAAUAUGGUGACCUCCUGGGAGUGGGUGGACCAUUAGAUUGCCUAAGGAGGGGUGAACCUACCCAGGUCAGAAACGGAGCAGGUCAAAAGUCUUGUGCUGAUCAGUAGUGGGAUUGCACCUAUGAAUAGCCAAGGCACUCUAGCCUGGGCAACAUAGUGAGACUUUGUCU